rnacentral:rRNA from 1 species
UACGGGGGGGGCAAGCGUUGUUCGGAAUUACUGGGCGUAAAGGGCUCGUAGGCGGCCAACUAAGUCAGACGUGAAAUCCCUCGGCUUAACCGGGGAACUGCGUCUGAUACUGGAUGGCUUGAGUUUGGGAGAGGGAUGCGGAAUUCCAGGUGUAGCGGUGAAAUGCGUAGAUAUCUGGAGGAACACCGGUGGCGAAGGCGGCAUCCUGGACCGGUAUUAACGCUGAUGCGCGAAAGCCAGGGGAGCAAACGGG